rnacentral:rRNA from 1 species
CCUACGGGAGGCUGCAGUGAGGAAUAUUGGUCAAUGGUCGGGAGACUGAACCAGCCAAGCCGCGUGAGGGAGGAAGGUACAGAGUAUCGUAAACCUCUUUUGUCAGGGAACAAAGACUGGGACGCGUCCCCGGAUGAGUGUACCUGAAGAAAAAGCAUCGGCUAACUCCGUGCCAGCCGCCGCGGUAAUACGGAGGAUGCGAGCGUUAUCCGGCUGUAUUGGGGUUAAAGGGUGCGCAGACGGUCUGUUAAGUCAGCGGUCAAAGCCCGGGGCUCAACCCCGGCCCGCCGUUGAAACUGGCAGGCGCGAGUGGGAGAGAAGAAGGCGGAAUGCGCGGUGUAGCGGUGAAAUGCAUAGAUAUCGCGCAGAACUCCGAUUGCGAAGGCAGCAUGCCGGCUCCACACUGACGCUGAGGCACGAAAGCGUGGGUAUCGAACAGGAUUAGAUACCCCAGUAGUC